rnacentral:rRNA from 1 species
UACAGAGGUCUCAAGCGUUGUUCGGAUUCAUUGGGCGUAAAGGGUGCGUAGGCGGCGCGGUAAGUCGGGUGUGAAAUCUUGGAGCUUAACUCCGAAACUGCAUUCGAUACUGCCGUGCUUGAGGACUGGAGAGGAGACUGGAAUUUACGGUGGAGCGGUGAAAUGCGUUGAUAUCGUAAGGAACACCCGUGGCGAAAGCGGCUCACUGGGUCUUUUCUGACGCUGAUGCACGAAAGCUAGGGGAGCAAACGGG